rnacentral:rRNA from 1 species
GACGAACGCUGGCGGCGUGCUUAACACAUGCAAGUCGAGCGGAGCGGCGAACGGGUGCGUAUCGCGUGAGUAACUGCCCCCCUCUCUGGGCUAACAGUUGGAAACGGCUGCUAUUACCGGAAAGUGGGGGAUGACUUGCGUCCUAUCAGCGUGUUGUUGGGGUAUUGGCCUGCCAAGGCGACGACGGGUAGCCGGCCUGAGAGGGAGACCGGCCACAUUGGGCUGAGAUACGGGCCAAACUCCUACGGGGGGCAGCAGGGGAGAAUAUUGCACAAUGGGGGAAACCCUGAUGCAGCAACGCCGCGUGCGAGAUGACGGCCUUCGGGUUGUAAACCGCUUUCAGCCAUGACGCGGUAGUUGCAGAAGAAGCACCGGCUAACUACGUGCCAGCAGCCGCGGUAAUAC